AAUACGUUCCCGGACCUUGCACACACCGCCCGUCAAGCCAUGGAAGCUGGGUGUACCUAAAGUCGGUAACCGCAAGGAGCUGCCUAGGGUAAAACUAGUAACUGGGCU
rnacentral:rRNA from 1 species